rnacentral:rRNA from 1 species
UUGAACGCUGGCGGCAUGCCUUACACAUGCAAGUCGAACGGCAGCACGGGACUCAGGCAACUGAGCCCUGGUGGCGAGUGGCGAACGGGUGAGUAAUGCAUCGGAACGUGCCCAGUAGUGGGGGAUAACUAGUCGAAAGAUUAGCUAAUACCGCAUACGACCUAUGGGUGAAAGCGGGGGAUUCGCAAGAACCUCGCGCUAUCGGAGCGGCCGAUGUCUGAUUAGCUAGUUGGCGGGGUAAAAGCCCACCAAGGCUUCGAUCAGUAGCUGGUCUGAGAGGACGACCAGCCACACUGGGACUGAGACACGGCCCAGACUCCUACGGGAGGCAGCAGUGGGGAAUUUUGGACAAUGGGCGCAAGCCUGAUCCAGCCAUGCCGCGUGCGGGAAGAAGGCCUUCGGGUUGUAAACCGCUUUU